rnacentral:rRNA from 1 species
UGGCGGACGGGUGAGUAAUAUAUCGGAACGUACCCAGUGGUGGGGGAUAACACAUCGAAAGAUGUGCUAAUACCGCAUACGACCUGAGGGUGAAAGCGGGGGAUCGCAAGACCUCGCGCUCUUGGAGCGGCCGAUGUCGGAUUAGCUAGUUGGUGAGGUAAAAGCUCACCAAGGCGACGAUCCGUAGCAGGUCUGAGAGGAUGAUCUGCCACACUGGGACUGAGACACGGCCCAGACUCCUACGGGAGGCAGCAGUGGGGAAUUUUGGACAAUGGGGGCAACCCUGAUCCAGCCAUGCCGCGUGAGUGAAGAAGGCCUUCGGGUUGUAAAGCUCUUUCGGCCGGGAAGAAAUCGCAUUCUCUAACAUAGGGUGUGGAUGACGGUACCGGACUAAGAAGCACCGGCUAACUACGUGCCAGCAGCCGCGGUAAU